GGAAAUUGAUUAAGAGACAGUUGAAGAAAAUCUGCGAUGAAAUGAUGGCAUUAGUGAAAAUGGAGAGCGGACAGAAUGAAUGGCUUUUUAGUUGGAUUUUGUAUUUUCUUCAGAGUAUCGGGUCUGAAGCUUGUUCUUGUUAUAAGUCUUCAAUGGGGUUCAUUGACUGAAACCAAUCCAUGACUUCCUAGGAGUUAAAACCUGAAGACUGAGAAACCAAUUAACAACCUUUGUAAUACUUUGGGAAAGAAGUAACAAGAAAAGCUAAUGGAGAAGGCAGUUGGAACAACAUGUCAAUGUUUUCAGCAGCAUUCCAUAGACACCAUCAUCCCUACCUCAUGUAAACCAUCUUCUGGUCUUACAUGCCUUGAUCUCUGUUAACCCAUUUAAUCACCGGGC
rnacentral:lncRNA from 1 species